UCCGAGUUGACCCCGGCAGUAUCCCAUGAGUUCCCACCAUUACGUGCUGGCAACAUAGAACGAGGGUUGCGCUCGUUGCGGGACUUAACCCAACAUCUCACGACACGAGCUGACGACAACCAUGCACCACCUGUUUACGAGUGUCCAAAGAGUUGACCAUUUCUGGCCCGUUCUCGUAUAUGUCAAGCCUUGGUAAGGUGGGGAUGACGUGUCUAGGAGGGUG
rnacentral:misc_RNA from 1 species